UAGGGAAUCUUCGGCAAUGGGGGCAACUCUGACCGAGCAACGCCGCGUGAGUGAAGAAGGUUUUCGGAUCGUAAAGCUCUGUUGUAAGAGAAGAACGAGUGUGAGAGUGGAAAGUUCACACUGUGACGGUAACUUACCAGAAAGGGACGGCUAACUACGUGCCAGCAGCCGCGGUAAUACGUAGGUCCCGAGCGUUAUCCGGAUUUAUUGGGCGUAAAGCGAGCGCAGGCGGUUAGAUAAGUCUGAAGUUAAAGGCUGUGGCUUAACCAUAGUACGCUUUGGAAACUGUUUAACUUGAGUGCAGAAGGGGAGAGUGGAAUUCCAUGUGUAGCGGUGAAAUGCGUAGAUAUAUGGAGGAACACCGGUGGCGAAAGCGGCUCUCUGGUCUGUAACUGACGCUGAGGCUCGAAAGCGUGGGGAGCAAACAGGAUUAGAUACCCUGGUAGUCCACGCCGUAAACGAUGAGUGCUAGGUGUUGGGUCCUUUCCGGGACUCAGUGCCGCAGCUAACGCAUUAAGCACUCCGCCUGGGGAGUACGACCGCAAGGUUG
rnacentral:rRNA from 1 species